AGAGUUUGAUCCUGGCUCAGGAUGAACGCUAGCGGCAGGCCUAAUACAUGCAAGUCGAACGAUACCAGAGAGCUUGCUUUCUGGGAAAGUGGCGCACGGGUGCGUAACGCGUAUGCAACCUACCUUAAUCAGGGGGAUAGCCUCUCGAAAGAGAGAUUAACACCGCAUAAAAUCACACUUCGGCAUCGAAGAAUGAUCAAAUAUUUAUAGGAUUAAGAUGGGCAUGCGUGACAUUAGCUAGUUGGUAAGGUAAUGGCUUACCAAGGCUACGAUGUCUAGGGGAUCUGAGAGGAUGACCCCCCACACUGGUACUGAGACACGGACCAGACUCCUACGGGAGGCAGCAGUAAGGAAUAUUGGUCAAUGGGGGCAACCCUGAACCAGCCAUGCCGCGUGCAGGAAGACGGCCCUACGGGUUGUAAACUGCUUUUAUACGGGAAUAAAUCUUGCUACGUGUAGUGAGUUGAAUGUACUGUAAGAAUAAGGAUCGGCUAACUCCGUGCCAGCAGCCGCGGUAAUACGGAGGAUCCAAGCGUUAUCCGGAUUUAUUGGGUUUAAAGGGUGCGUAGGCGGCCUAUUAAGUCAGGGGUGAAAGACGGUGGCUCAACCAUCGCAGUGCCCUUGAUACUGAUGGGCUUGAUUACACUUGAGGUAGGCGGAAUGUGACAAGUAGCGGUGAAAUGCAUAGAUAUGUCACAGAACACCAAUUGCGAAGGCAGCUUACUAA
rnacentral:rRNA from 2 species